AUCAACGCUGGCGGCGUGGCCCUAACACAUGCAAGUCGAACGCGGUUAGUAGCAAUACUAACUGAGUGGCGAAACGGGUGAGUAACACGUGGGUGACCUACCUUCGAGUGGGGGGAUAACGUCCCGAAAGGGACGCUAAUACCGCAUAACAUCCCGCCUUUUGAACAGGCGGAAAUCAAAGCCGGGGGAUCGCAAGACCUGGCGCUUGGAGAGGGGGCCCGCGUCCGAUUAGCUAGUUGGUGAGGGUAAUGGGCUCACCAAGGCGACGAUCGGUAGCCGGCCUGAGAGGGCGGACGGCCACACUGGGACUGAGGACACGGCCCAGACUCCUACGGGAGGCAGCAGUGGGGAAUUGUUCGCAAUGGGCGCAAGCCUGACGACGCAACGCCGCGUGGAGGAUGAAGGUCUUCGGAUUGUAAACUCCUGUUUGCCCGGGACGAAUGACUACGACCUAACACGUCGUGGUUGUGACGGUACCGGGUGAGGAAGCCCCGGCUAACUCUGUGCCAGCAAGCCGCGGGUAAUACAGAGGGGGCAAGCGUUGUUCGGAAUUACUGGGCGUAAAGGGCGCGUAGGCGGCCUGUUAAGUCGAACGUGAAAUCCCCGGGCUCAACCCGGGAACUGCGUCCGAUACUGGCAGGCUUGAAUUCGGGAGAAGGGAUGCGGAAAUUCCAGGUUGUAGCGGUUGAAAAUGCGUAGAUAUCUGGAGGAACACCGGUGGCGGAAGGCGGCAUCCUGGACCGAUAUUGACGCUGAGGCGCGGAAAGCCAGGGGAGGCAAACGGGAUUAGAUAGAUACCCCGGUAGUCCUGGCCCUAAACGAUGAAUGCUUGGUGUGGCGGGUAUCGAUCCCUGCCGUGCCGAAAGCUAACGCAAUUAAGCAUUCCGCCUGGGGAGUACGGUCGCAAGGCUGGAAACUCAAAGGAAUUGACGGGGGCCCGCACAAGCGGUGGAGCAUGUGGUUUAAUUCGACGCAACGCGAAGAAACCUUACCCAGGCUCGAACGGUAACUGACAUCCUACGAAAGUAGGCUCCCGCAAGGGCAGUUAUCGAGGUGCUGCAUGGCUUGUCGUCAGCUCGUGUCGUGAGAUGUUGGGUUAAGUCCCGCAACGAUGCGCAACCCUUGUCUUCUGUUGCCAUCGGGUUAUGCCGGGCACUCUGAAGAGACUGCCGGUGACAAACCGGAGGAAGGUGGGGAUGACGUCAAGUCAGCAUGGCCUUUAUGUCUGGGGCCACAUACGUGCUACAAUGGCCGGUACAAACCGUCGCGAUACCGCAAGGUGGAGCUAAUCGGAGAAAGCCGGUCUCAGUUCGGAUUGUAGGCUGCAACUCGCCUGCAUGAAGUUGGAAUCGCUAGUAAUCGCGGAUCAGCACGCCGCGGUGAAUACGUUCCCGGGGCCUUGUACACACCGCCCGUCACAUCACGAAAGCUGGCUGUACUAGAAGUUUGCCGCGCUAACCCGCAAGGGAGGCAGGUGCCUAAGGUAUGGUCAGUGAUUGGGGUG
rnacentral:rRNA from 1 species